rnacentral:rRNA from 1 species
UCCCAGACUCCUACGGGAGGCAGCAGUGGGGAAUAUUGCGCAAUGGGGGGAACCCUGACGCAGCAACGCCGCGUGAGUGAAGAAGGCCUUCGGGUUGUAAAGCUCUUUAAUCAGGGACGAAGAAUGACGGUACCUGAAGAAUAAGCUCCGGCUAACUACGUGCCAGCAGCCGCGGUAAUACGUAGGGAGCGAGCGUUGUCCGGAAUUACUGGGUGUAAAGGGUGCGUAGGCGGGCGAGAAAGUUGAAUGUUAAAUCUACCGGCUUAACUGGGAGCUGCGUUCAAAACUUCUUGUCUUGAGUGAAGUAGAGGCAGGCGGAAUUCCUAGUGUAGCGGUGAAAUGCGUAGAUAUCAGGAGGAACACCGGUGGCGAAGGCGGCCUGCUGGACUGCAACUGACGUUGAGGCCCGAAAGCGUGGGGAGCAAACAGGAUUAGAUACCCGAGUAA